GCAGUUCGCUUUCCGGGUGCUGGCAUUCACAAGAAUGGCUCAGUAAUCUAGGCCUUUAGGUGUCAUCCUUACCCUCUCCCCGCACCAUGACGGUGGAGACGCAUUGGGGAGGAAAAGUGAACCCCUUAAGAGGACUGCUCCGAGGGCAAAUGGAACUAGCUCAGCAGCUUGCCACCCCUGGGUGCCUGGCCGGGUAAACAAAAUCUUUUAGAGGGUUUGUGCUUUGCAGAACUCAAGACUGAAGCCCAACCCUUUAGUGAUUUGACUCUGUGUAUCUCCAGCUCAUGAUUCCCUAUGCAUGGUUUACCUACCAGGAAAGAAGGCACUCCUCAGCUACUAUAAAUAUCAGGUGUAACUUGAUGUUUAAGGUGGGUAUUAUAAAUGCCAUUGACAUUGACACCGGACAGCCAUUUUAAUCACCUGGGAGCUUAUUAGAAAUGCAUACUUUUGGCCCCACUCCAGUCUUUCUGAAUCAGAAACUUGAGAUUCCCAGGCAGUUCCUCUACACCAUAAAGUUUAAGAAGCAUUGGUGAGCCAAUCACAAUAAUUCCAUCUUGAUAGGGACUGUUUCUGUAAUGGGUGUGUCAUCCAUUUUGAGCCGGUGAAACCCCAAGGUGCCAGCUCAGAGCAUCUGGGAGGAAAAAAGCCAGUCUCUCCUGGAUGUAAACAAGGCUGCAAGACAGCACACUGCCUCAGUUCCUGCUGUCAAACAUCUUGUGACCACAAGUGAACCUAGAUUGUGGCCAAGACUGCCAGGAGCCUACCCAGAGUGUUCAUUCUCCUCUUCCUGAGUAAUAGGACCAGUGGACGUUCCCAUGGGAUGGAAGAAGCAUAGGAUGGAAAUGAGUGCCCUAGACUUUGCAGCAACACACAUUGUGUUAGGAAUGUGUCUAUAAGGCCUGUUGAGACAAGUGGUUUUCAACCAGAGUUGCAUAUCAGAAUCACUUGGGCAACAUUUUAAAGAUAUCAAUUUCCAGGCCCCCUCCUAGAGGUGUUUUUGUUGUUGCUGUUGUUGUUUGGUUUUUUUUAACGGCCACACCUUUGGCCUAUGGAAGCUUCUGGGCAAGGUGUUGAAUUGCAGCUGCAGGCCUAUGCCACAGCCAUGGCAACACUAAGUCCAAGCUGUAUCUGCAACCUAUGCCACAGCUUGUGGCAACACUGGAUUCUCAACCCUCUGAGUGAGGCCAGGGAUUGAACCUGCAUCCUCACAGACACUGUGUCAGAUUCUUAAUCUGCUAAAUCACAGUGGGAAUGCCACAAAGAUUUUGAUUUAAUGGAUUUGGGCAGAAGUCUGGACACAUUCCCCCCCCCCCCCCCCCCCCCCCCCCCCCCCGGGGCUGUCCCUGCAGCACGCUGAAGUUUCCAGGCCAGAGGUGGAACCUGAGCCACAGCAGCAACAAUGCUGGAUCCUUAAAAACCCACCCACCCCCAUCACCAGGAAACUUCUGGACACAUUUUAUAAAAGUUCCUCAGUGGUUAUACUAUGUAGCCAUUGAGAAAUACCAGCUUAAAUCACAUUUUACAGCAUAAUGCCAUUUCAGUAUUGCUUUUCCCCUAGGAUUGCUCAUGAAACUUCUUGUAAACUCUUUUCGUAACUUUGUUGUUUUUUGUUUUUUGUGGUCUAAGACCCACAGAGGUCCAAGGCCCAGGUCCCAAGGCUGCUUUUCUAGACUCCUCUAGUAGGAGCCACCAAGGUAUACUUUUCAAAGCUGACUGAGGCCCCACUUUGUGGGACUGUUUCUGUUUCUAAGUUCAGCUAACUUUUGCCUCUUUCCUUUAUUUCCCCAAGGGUGAUGUUACUAACUCUACCAUGUCACUCACCCUUUGCUUUGUCAGCUCUUGAAUGCCAAAUUCUCUAUGUUGAAUUAUCUGUUAAAAUUAUUAAUGUGAGGAGUUCCCGUCGUGGCUCAGUGGUUAACGAAUCCGACUAGGAACCAUGAGGUUGCUGGUUUGAUCCCUGGCCUCACUCAGUGGGCUAAGGAUCCAGAGUUGUCGUGAGCUGUGGUGUAGGUCAAAGACAUGGCUCAGAUCCGGCAUUGCUGUGGCUGUGGCAUAGGUUGGCUGCUGUAGCUCUGAUUCCACCCCAAGCCCAGGAGCUUGCAUAUGCCACAAGUGCGGUCCUAAAAAAGAAAAAAUAUAUUAUUAAUGUGGUCUCUGUUUUCUUGAUUGGACCUGAACUGAUGCAUCAUCGUCUAGAAUUUAUUGAAGUCAUGUCAUGAAAGUAUAUUUGGUAUAAGCAUUUGCAGGAAAUGUGACUUAAAAAAAAAUCUUGAGUUCCCAACAUUGCAAAGUGAGUUUAGAAUCCAACUGCAGUGGCUUAGGUCACUGCCAAGGUGUGGGUUCUAUCCCCAGUGGAAUGGGUCACAGCUUUGGCUCAGAUUUAAUCCCUGGCCCAGGAACUUCCAUAUGCUGUGGGUGCAGACAUAAAAAUUAAAGAAAAAAACAACUUCCCAUGCCUUCUUGUCAUUUUUUUUCCCUGCAUCUUAUUUUUUUUGGUCACCGAGUGGAAUAUGGAGUUCCCGAGUCAGGGGUCAGAUCUGAGCCACAGUUUUGAUCUAUAUCACAGCUGUGGCAUACCAGAUCUUUAAUUCACUGUAUCAGGCCAAGGAUAGAACCUGCAUCCUGGAGUUCCCGUCGUGGCUCAGUGGUUAACGAAUCCGACUAGGCAUCAUGAGAUUGCGGGUUGGAUCCCUGGCCUCGCUCAGUGGGUUAAGGAUCCGGCAUUCCUGUGAGCUGUGGUGUAGGUUGCAGACGUGGCUCAUAUCCUGCAUUGCUGUGGCUCUGGUGUAGGCUGGCAGUUACAGCUCUGAUUGGACCCCCAGCCUGGGAACCUCCAAAUGCUGAGGGAGCGGCCCAAGAAAUGGCAAAAAGACAAAAAAAAAAAAAAAAAAAAAAAAAAAAA
rnacentral:lncRNA from 1 species